rnacentral:rRNA from 1 species
UACGAAGGGGGGCUAGCGUUGCUCGGAAUUACUGGGCGUAAAGCGCACGUAGGCGGCUUUCUAAGUCGGGGGUGAAAUCCUGGAGCUCAACUCCAGAACUGCCUUCGAUACUGGAGAGCUUGAGUCCGGGAGAGGUGAGUGGAACUGCGAGUGUAGAGGUGAAAUUCGGUAGAAUAUUCGCAAGAACACCAGUGGCGAAAGGCAGGCCUCAGCUGGCCCGGGUGA